rnacentral:sRNA from 1 species
UCCCAGCCUUGGUGGACACGGGUAAGAA